rnacentral:rRNA from 1 species
UACGUAGGGGGCUAGCGUUGUCCGGAAUCAUUGGGCGUAAAGCGCGUGUAGGCGGCCCGGUAAGUCCGCUGUGAAAGUCGGGGGCUCAACCCUCGAAUGCCGGUGGAUACUGUCGGGCUAGAGUACGGAAGAGGCGAGUGGAAUUCCUGGUGUAGCGGUGAAAUGCGCAGAUAUCAGGAGGAACACCGGUGGCGAAGGCGGGUCUCGUGGGCCGAUACUGACGCUGAGGAGCGAAAGCGUGGGUAGCGAACAGG